AACGAACGCUGGCGGCAUGCCUAACACAUGCAAGUCGAACGAAGCCUUCGGGCUUAGUGGCGCACGGGUGCGUAACGCGUGGGAAUCUGCCCUUUGGUUCGGAAUAACAGUUGGAAACGACUGCUAAUACCGGAUGAUGACGAAAGUCCAAAGAUUUAUCGCCAGAGGAUGAGCCCGCGUAGGAUUAGCUAGUUGGUGUGGUAAAGGCGUACCAAGGCGGCGAUCCUUAGCUGGUCUGAGAGGAUGAUCAGCCACACUGGGACUGAGACACGGCCCAGACUCCUACGGGAGGCAGCAGUGGGGAAUAUUGGACAAUGGGCGAAAGCCUGAUCCAGCAAUGCCGCGUGAGUGAUGAAGGCCCUAGGGUUGUAAAGCUCUUUUACCCGGGAUGAUAAUGACAGUACCGGGAGAAUAAGCCCCGGCUAACUCCGUGCCAGCCGCCGCAGUAA
rnacentral:rRNA from 1 species